rnacentral:rRNA from 1 species
AGAUACCCAUGCAUGUUUUUGACAUUUGAAAAAUGGACUGCUCAGUAAUACUCACUUUAUUUUAUGUACAUUUGAAAUUAACUACGUUAAAGUGUAGAUAAGAUGUGUACAGUAAGAGUGAGACCUAUCAGCUAGUUGUUAAGGUAAUGGCUUAACAAGGCAGUGACGGGUAACGGUAUUACUUUGUAAUAUUCCGGAGAAGGAGCCUGAGAGACGGCUACUAAGUCUAAGGAUUGCAGCAGGGGCGAAACUUGACCUAUGGAUUUUAUCUGAGGCAGUUAUGGGAAGUAAUAUUAUAUUGUUUCAUAUUUUAAAAGUAUAUGAGGUGAUUAAUUGGAGGGCAAAUCAAGUGCCAGCAGCCGCGGUAAUACUUGUUCCAAGAGUGUGUAUGAUGAUUGAUGCAGUUAAAAAGUCCGUAGUUUAUUUUUAAGAAGCAAUUUGAGGUGUACUGUAUAGUUGGGAGAGAGAUGAAAUGUGACGACCCUGACUGGACGAACAGAAGCGAAAGCUGUACACUUGUAUGUAUUUUUUGAACAAGGACGUAAGCUGGAGGAGCGAAGAUGAUUAGAUACCAUUGUAGUUCCAGCAGUAAACUAUGCCGACGAUGUGAUAUGAAGUUAUUUGUAUUACAUAAUAGAAAUUAGAGUUUUUUGGCUCUGGGGAUAGUAUGAUCGCAAGAUUGAAAAUUAAAGAAAUUGACGGAAGAAUACCACAAGGAGUGGAUUGUGCGGCUUAAUUUGACUCAACGCGAGGUAACUUACCAAUAUUUUAUUAUUUUGAGAGGAUUUUUAAUCUGAGAAUGAUAAUAGUGGUGCAUGGCCGUUUUCAAUGGAUGCUGUGAAGUUUUGAUUAAUUUCAACAAGACGUGAGACCCUUUUAUAUAGACAGACACAAUCAGUGUAGGAAGGAAAGGAUUAAAACAGGUCCGUUAUGCCCUCAGACAUUUUGGGCUGCACGCGCAAUACAAUAGAUAUAUGAUCUUUAUGGGAUAAUAUUUUGUAAGAGAUAUUUGAACUUGGAAUUGCUAGUAAAUUUUAUUAAAUAAGUAGAAUUGAAUGUGUCCCUGUUCUUUGUACACACCGCCCGUCGCUAUCUAAGAUGAUAUAUGUUGUGAAAUUAGUGAAAACUACUUGAACAAUAUGUAUAGAUCUGAUAUAAGUCGUAACA